CUUCUCUCUCGGGCUUCAUCAUGGGCCUAGCCUUUCCCCUUGGGCCUAGACUAAAAAAUCCGGAAAACGACGUCGGAUCUUUCCAUUUGAAGAUACCACGGCAUCUCUAGCAUUGCAUCGCUAUCUAUCUAUCUAUCCACCUGAAAUGGCUUCCAUAUCCAUAGCCAGCUUCUCUCCACAAGCUCUAUCUCGUCCAAGAACUCAAAACCCUAACCCUAACCCAAAAAAACCGAAUCGAAACCCCAGCUCUAAUUUCAAGCCUCAAAAGAGUAAAUACAACAAAUUUAUUGCACAACCACUGACCUUAUCUGGCGGCGAAGCCACAACCUACACUCGCCUGCCGCCGAGAGAAGAUUUUACCCUUCCGUCCAUCGAUUUUAAAGCGGCGGAAGUUAAGCUCCGCAAUUCAAAUGUAGCUGAACGCCGAAACGACAACGAGGAUCACCGUUUCGGUAGUGAAGAAGAAGAAGAUGAUGAUGAUAUUGAUGGUGAACUGCAAGUUGAUUAUGGUAGAUUUGAGGUUUACGAGGUUAAUUCUGAUUAUGAGGGUGAAGAAGAAGAGGAAGACAACGAUAUAAUUGAAAAUGGCAAAACUGUGGAUUAUUACGAUGACAGGGACUUUUAUGAUGGAGAAGGAGAAGGAGGAGAAGAGAUUGAUAUAAAAGAGAAAGGAGUGCCAGCUGUAAUGCGAUGUUUUGACACAGCGAAAAUCUACGUAAAAGCGGGAGAUGGAGGAAACGGUGUUGUAGCAUUUCGUCGCGAGAAGUUCGUGCCAUUAGGUGGGCCCUCUGGUGGAGAUGGAGGUAGAGGAGGAAAUGUAUACGUAGAAGUUGAGGGUUCAAUGAAUUCGUUAUUACCAUUUAGGAAUAGAGUUCAUUUUAGAGCUGGGAGAGGGUCCCACGGGCAAGGGUCUAUGCAAAAUGGCGCCAAAGGAGAGGAUGUAGUGGUUAAGGUUCCGCCAGGUACGGUUAUUAGAGAAGCGGGAAAAGCGGAGGUGUUGUUGGAAUUGUUGGAUGCCGGCCAAAAGGCUUUGCUGUUGCCUGGUGGUAGAGGUGGUAGAGGAAACGCUGCGUUUAAAUCUGGUACUAAUAAAGUCCCUAGGAUUGCUGAGAAUGGUGAAGAGGGAGUCGAAAUGUGGUUGGAGCUGGAGCUAAAGCUCGUUGCAGAUGUUGGAAUCGUGGGUGCACCCAAUGCUGGGAAAAGUACACUUUUGAGUGUAAUAAGUGCUGCACAGCCAGCAAUAGCAAAUUACCCCUUUACUACUUUACUUCCUAACCUUGGUGUAGUUUCAUUUGAUUAUGAUUCUACAAUGGUUGUGGCAGACCUUCCAGGUCUACUCGAAGGAGCACAUCGGGGUUUUGGUUUGGGCCAUGAGUUUCUACGACACACAGAAAGAUGUUCUGUACUGGUACAUGUGGUUGAUGGCUCUUCGCAGCAGCCAGAAUUUGAGUUUGAUGCUGUUCGUCUUGAGCUGGAAUUGUUCAGUCCUGAAAUUGCUGAGAAGCCUUUCAUAGUUGCCUAUAACAAAAUGGAUCUUCCAGAUGCUUAUGAAAACUGGUCAUCAUUUAUGGAACAAUUAGAAGCUCGUGGGAUUAAGACUUUCUGCAUGAGUGCUGUGAAAAAAGAAGGCACACGUCAAGUGAUUUGUGCUGCUUAUGAGCUUCUACGGAAAAGUAAAGACGCCAAUCAGGAGUCCGAAGGUUGGAUAGAUCCAGCAAAUUUGAAUCAUGUAGCCGAUAUGGUACAGAAGCAACGAAGAAGCCCUAUCAAUGACUUUGAGAUCUUUCACGAAAGUGGUUCCAAUACUUGGCAAGUGAUUGGGUCUGGAUUACAACGUUUUGUUCAGAUGACAAAUUGGCGAUAUGCAGAUUCUGAGAGAAGGUUCCAGCAUGUUUUGGAAGCUUGUGGUGUGUACAAGACUCUCAAGAAGAUGGGUGUCAAGGAAGGUGACACAGUGAUUGUUGGAGAGCACCCAUGUGCAGAACACUUGCUCAUGCUCACUGAUGUCUAUAUGAUGAUGGUAGUGUGAUAGACUUCAGUUAUGAUUUAUUGCUGCAGGCACUUAAGAAUCUUGAAUUUCAAAUAAGAUGGAAAUGGUCUGGCAUGACUCUGAGAGUCCUGAUCCCUCAAAUUUGAAGAGAAGAUUUGAGUCAGCCAAAUGGCCUGACUUGAUGUAAUUCUCUUGAAUUUGGUUGAUCAAAGCAGGGAACUUCUAGAGUGAAUGGUAAUUGUUGCCUCAAAUACUUCCACUAAAGCAGCUAGAUUAAAGACGAUUCUGUUUUUGGGUGUUUGCAACAGCCUACUACUAUGCAGACAACUCUUACUGAAUGAAUUUGUUACUUCUCUAAGAAAUGUCACAGCAUAUCUUCCCCCAGUCUUUCUGUUGCUUAAAUUUCUUUGAAUAAUUAUUGGAAGCUUUCAAGAUUAAAAGGAUGGGAAGUUAUUAAUAUAGCUUGAAAUUGAUUUUCCCUGAAUAAUCACAAGCAGUUCUUGCCAGUGAUUUGGGCAUGGCAAGGAAGCCACGGGGGGCAAAAGUGUAAAGCUAUGAGAUUGUCCCUGCCAAGCCAUGAGACUAAUGAAUUCAACAGGUAUUCCUGGGCUACAUGAUAUCUGAAGCUGAAGAUAAGCUGAUUCUUUGUCGUCAUUGCAGUUGCCAUCUGCCCAGGUAAUUGUCAAAUGGAGAUCAAGGAUUUGAUCCCUGAAGGUUAGGUUUUUCUUUUUGCUUUUUAAUUUUUAAUUUUUAAUUUUUAAUUUUUUUGGAUAGAAAUAUGUCCAUUAAAACUAAAGAGUCACAGAAAACAUUAUAGUAGCUACCCAUCUCAAGAGGAGCUUCGGUUCCACUGAAUUAGGAAAACCUAGAAGCACAUCAUCAGUGAACAAUUUAUCUCUAGAUGAAUUAUGCAUAUGUUCAUUCUUAGCAGAGGUGUAUCUCUCUAAUAUCUUACAAGUGUAUUGAUGGUUUUAGCUACAGGAAAUUUAUUUAUAUAAAUUCCUUAAUUAUAAUAA